rnacentral:rRNA from 1 species
UACGGAGGGAGCUAGCGUUGUUCGGAAUUACUGGGCGUAAAGCGCACGUAGGCGGCUUUGUAAGUUAGAGGUGAAAGCCCGGGGCUCAACUCCGGAACUGCCUUUAAGACUGCAUCGCUUGAAUCCAGGAGAGGUGAGUGGAAUUCCGAGUGUAGAGGUGAAAUUCGUAGAUAUUCGGAAGAACACCAGUGGCGAAGGCGACUGACUGGACAUGUAUUGACGCUGAGGUGCGAAAGCGUGGGGAGCAAACAGG